rnacentral:lncRNA from 1 species
GGGUUUUAAACUCGUGUAGAAUGAGAAAAGAAGGAGAAAACUCCAUUGGGAAAUGCUCUAGUUUGAAGGUAUUGUAAAAAAACAGGUCUCUCUUGCAUUAAGUAGUGCUGAAGCAAAAUGUAUUGCAGCAAGAAGUUAUUGCUCAAAAGUUUUUGGCUCAAACAACAAUUAUGUGACCAUGGACUAAAUCUUGGUUGCAUUCCUAUU